rnacentral:rRNA from 1 species
CCUACGGGAGGCAGCAGUGGGGAAUAUUGGACAAUGGGCGCAAGCCUGAUCCAGCCAUGCCGCGUGUGUGAAGAAGGCCUUCGGGUUGUAAAGCACUUUUAUCCGGAAAGAAAAGCUUUGGGUUAAUACCCUGAAGUCAUGACGGUACCGGAAGAAUAAGCACCGGCUAACUUCGUGCCAGCAGCCGCGGUAAUACGAAGGGUGCAAGCGUUACUCGGAAUUACUGGGCGUAAAGCGUGCGUAGGUGGUUUGUUAAGUCUGAUGUGAAGGCCCUAGGCUCAACCUGGGAAUUGCAUUGGAUACUGGCAGGCUAGAGUGCGGUAGAGGAUAGUGGAAUUCCCGGUGUAGCAGUGAAAUGCGUAGAGAUCGGGAGGAACAUCUGUGGCGAAGGCGACUAUCUGGGCCAGCACUGACACUGAGGCACGAAAGCGUGGGGAGCAAACAGGAUUAGAUACCCUGGUAGUCCACGCCCUAAACGAUGCGAACUGGAUGUUGGGUGCAACUAGGCACUCAGUAUCGAAGCUAACGCGUUAAGUUCGCCGCCUGGGGAGUACGGUCGCAAGACUGAAACUCAAAGGAAUUGACGG